GAAAUGGCGAAGCUGAGAUACUCAAGGAUACAAGUGAGGAAAUGGUCGACAUUGUCGAUGGUAUUGAAGAUGCUAUUUAUGCUAACGGUGAUUCUGUUGAUACUAUUGGGCUCCCUUCCCAUAAGCAGCGACGAUGCCGCUCCCAAUGAUCUCACUACUUCGUACAGACGUCUGGCCGUUGAAAGAGAUGAUAAUGGUUUGGGAAAGAGAGGAGAGCAGUGGACUGAAAUUCUUUCUUGGGAGCCUCGAGCAUUUCUUUAUCACAAUUUCUUGUCAAAGGAAGAAUGUGAGUACUUAAUAGCUCUGGCCAAACCACACAUGACAAAGUCAACUGUGGUGGAUAGCAAGACAGGUCGAAGCAAAGAUAGCAGGGUUCGUACAAGUUCUGGAAUGUUUCUGAGGAGAGGACGGGAUAAAAUUAUUAGGAGCAUUGAAAAAAGGAUAGCGGACUUCUCUUUUAUUCCUGUAGAGCAUGGAGAAGGAGUUCAAGUUCUUCAUUAUGAAGUUGGGCAGAAGUAUGAGGCUCACUAUGAUUAUUU
rnacentral:misc_RNA from 1 species